UACGGAGGGUGCAAGCGUUUAUCCGGAUUCACUGGGUUUAAAGGGUGCGUAGGUGGCUUUGUAAGUCAGUGGUGAAAUCUUAGAGCUUAACUCUAAAACUGCCAUUGAUACUGCUUAGCUUGAAUCAAGUAGAGGUGGAUGGAAUAUUACAUGUAGCGGUGAAAUGCUUAGAUAUGUAAUAGAACACCGAUUGCGAAGGCAGUUCACUAUGCUUGUAUUGACACUGAGGCACGAAAGCGUGGGGAUCAAACAGG
rnacentral:rRNA from 1 species